CAAAAAAUGUCAUAGUAUAGUAAGGCGUCAAAAGUGGUCAAAAAAUGUCAUAGUAUAGUAAGGCGUCAAAAGUGGUCAAAAAAUUUCAUAGUAUAGUAAGGCGUCAAAAGUGGUCAAAAAAUGUCAUAGUAUAGUAAGGCGUUAAAAUUGGUCAAAAAAUGUCAUAGUAUAGUAAGGCGUCAAAAUUGGUCAAAAAAUGUCAUAGUAUAGUAAGAUGUCAAAAACCUUCAAAAAAUGUCAUAGUAUAGUAAGGCGUCAAAAUUGGUCAAAAAAUGUCAUAGUAUAGUAAGGCGUCAAAAUUGGUCAAAAAACGUCAUAGUAUAGUAAGGCGUCAAAAUUGGUCAAAAAAUGUCAUAGUAUAGUAAGAUGUUAAAAUUGGUCAAAAAAUUUCAUAGUAUAGUAAGAUGUCAAAAACCUUCAAAAAACGUCAUAGUAUAGUAAGGCGUUAAAAUUGGUCAAAAAAUGUCAUAGUAUAGUAAGGCGUUAAAAUUGGUCAAAAAAUGUCA